rnacentral:piRNA from 1 species
UCUCGACGUGUAUCUUGUGGGUCUUGUA